UUUCCUGAAUGCAUAAAAUGUUCCAUUUACACAUUUGGCCUUUUGGAUAAGCCACAUUGCUAUAGUAUCAGCCAUGCCAACAUCUCAAGGGAAAACUUGGUCUGGGGGGCCUUCAGAUGCUGGUCAGGUGGGAAUUCAAGUGGAGUGAUAUAUGUGUAGUGUUCAUUUCUCAGUUUUUGUUUCAUAAGGGAACCCCAAGUCAACCAACCUGAAAUAUGUGAAAAUUGAAAACCAUCCCAGUAAAAAAUAUACUUUUCCGCAAUCUACCAUGAACAUUUUGGGGGGAACUGUAUUGAACCUAAGGGUACUCUACCACUGAACUACAUCCCUAGCCCUUUUUACUUUUGAGGCAGGGUCUCACUAAAUUGCCCAGACUGACCUUAAAUUUAUAAUCCUCUUGAUAGCCCCCAAGUCACUGGGAUUUUAGCACAGGUUACUGGAUCCAACUAUUUUUUUAUUUAUUUUUGUACCAGAGAUUGAAAACCAGGGGCACUUAACCACUGAGCCACAUGUCUAGCCAUUUUUUAUUUUGAGACAGGGUCUUGCUAAGUUGCUUACAAUCUUGCUAAAUUGAUGAGGCUUGCUUUGAACUUUCGAUCCUCCUGUCUCAACCUCCCAAGCUGCUGGGAUUACAGGUGUGGGCCACCAUGCCCAGCUAAUAUUUAUCUUAAAGUGCAAAUACAUGGUGCUAAUGUCUUUUGGGGUGAGACCCAACCCAGCUGCUGGAAUUGUUUGGACAUCUGGCAGGGGGAAAAGUAUGUUGGAAUAUUUUUGAAGGAACAGGGCAUUUUGCUUUGAGAGCUGUAGAUAUAUGAGAGAUUUUUUUUCAAGAGGAGAAGAUAGGAGAAUUGUGGCCCCCAUGACUUCCCCUCCUGUGAUAUUAAACUUG
rnacentral:lncRNA from 1 species